GAGUGUGAGGGUGAUCUGGCUGCGACAUCUGUCACCCCACUGAUAGUCAGGGUUGAUUCGGCUGAUCUGGCUUGCUAGGCAGAUGUCCCCUUCCUCCCUCACAACUCCAUGUGCAUCCCUCCCAAAGCUUGUGCACUCAGUGGAAGAAGACGGCCUUCCCCGAAUAGAGACGGACUGGUCUUCGGUCGAGGGUAUACAAGUAGCUGCACUCCCCUGCUAGAACCUCCAAACAAGCUCUGAAGAAGAGAAAACUUUUAAGUCCUGGCUAUAAAUGGUUCUCCUUACUUAAACUAGCCCUUUCCUAAAUGGGGGUCUAUCUUGUCUUU
rnacentral:snRNA from 1 species